UGGUUCAACUCUAUUUAUAAUUAUUCCACUGUCAACCUGGGACCAGUCGAGACUAUUGUUUUAUUGGGCUCUCCAGUACUAUUGAGAUCACGAAAUUAUUGUGGAUAGUCCUCCUAGUGACCUGGAUGUUUCUCAACAUCAAAGGAUCCAGGAUAUCUCGUGAAGAGCUUGGAGGGUCCUCGUGCACUCUGAGGGAGCUCUACAAUCUAAUAGCACCGAUUUACUGCUCACAUUAACACAAUAGCGACGAGUAGCAUGUGAAUCCUAAAUAAUAAGAGAAAACAGGAAAUGACGAAUCAUUCAGCAUGGACCGGAAGCCAGCCGGAGACGCCGCGUGCGCCCAAAACUAGAUUCAAUUAUUUCUCAUUUCAGGGACAAGAAAAUUAUUUCCUGAGGAAAAGAAACUGG